rnacentral:rRNA from 1 species
CCUUAGUACGGGCGAGUGAAGCGGCAAAAGCUCAAAUUUGAAAUCUGGCACCUUCGGUGUCCGAGUUGUAAUUUGAAGAAGGUAACUUUGGAGUUGGCUCUUGUCUAUGUUCCUUGGAACAGGACGUCACAGAGGGUGAGAAUCCCGUGCGAUGAGAUGCCCAAUUCUAUGUAAAGUGCUUUCGAAGAGUCGAGUUGUUUGGGAAUGCAGCUCUAAGUGGGUGGUAAAUUCCAUCUAAAGCUAAAUAUUGGCGAGAGACCGAUAGCGAACAAGUACAGUGAUGGAAAGAUGAAAAGAACUUUGAAAAGAGAGUGAAAAAGUACGUGAAAUUGUUGAAAGGGAAGGGCUUGAGAUCAGACUUGGUAUUUUGCGAUCCUUUCCUUCUUGGUUGGGUUCCUCGCAGCUUACUGGGCCAGCAUCGGUUUGGAUGGUAGGAUAAUGACUAAGGAAUGUGGCUCUACUUCGGUGGAGUGUUAUAGCCUUGGUUGAUACUGCCUGUCUAGACCGAGGACUGCGUCUUUGACUAGGAUGCUGGCAUAAUGAUCUUAAGCCACCCGUCUGAAAACCGGAACCACA